CAAGUCGAACGGCAGCACGGGAGCAAUCCUGGUGGCGAGUGGCGAACGGGUGAGUAAUACAUCGGAACGUGCCCAAUCGUGGGGGAUAACGCAGCGAAAGCUGUGCUAAUACCGCAUACGAUCUACGGAUGAAAGCAGGGGACCGCAAGGCCUUGCGCGAAUGGAGCGGCCGAUGGCAGAUUAGGUAGUUGGUGGGGUAAAGGCUCACCAAGCCAACGAUCUGUAGCUGGUCUGAGAGGACGACCAGCCACACUGGGACUGAGACACGGCCCAGACUCCUACGGGAGGCAGCAGUGGGGAAUUUUGGACAAUGGGCGCAAGCCUGAUCCAGCCAUGCCGCGUGCAGGAUGAAGGCCUUCGGGUUGCAAACUGCUUUUGUACGGAACGAAAAGUCUCUUUCUAAUAAAGAGGGAUCAUGACGGUACCGUAAGAAUAAGCACCGGCUAACUACGUGCCAGCAGCCGCGGUAAUACGUAGGGUGCAAGCGUUAAUCGGAAUUACUGGGCGUAAAGCGUGCGCAGGCGGUGAUGUAAGACAGUUGUGAAAUCCCCGGGCUCAACCUGGGAACUGCAUCUGUGACUGCAUCGCUGGAGUGCGGCAGAGGGGGAUGGAAUUCCGCGUGUAGCAGUGAAAUGCGUAGAUAUGCGGAGGAACACCGAUGGCGAAGGCAAUCCCCUGGGCCUGCACUGACGCUCAUGCACGAAAGCGUGGGGAGCAAACAGGAUUAGAUACCCUGGUAGUCCACGCCCUAAACGAUGUCAACUGGUUGUUGGGGAUUCACUUCCUCAGUAACGAAGCUAACGCGUGAAGUUGACCGCCUGGGGAGUACGGCCGCAAGGUUGAAACUC
rnacentral:rRNA from 1 species